rnacentral:rRNA from 1 species
GGAUCAGUUCGCUGGUCGUGCCUCUGGUAUGUACUGGUGUUACUGGUUCCUCCCUUCUGACGAACUGUCAUGUCAUUUAUUUGGUGUGGCAGGGAAUCAGGACUGUUACUUUGAAAAAAUUAGAGUGUUUCAGGCAGGCAAUUGCUUGGAUACUGCAGCAUGGAAUAAUGGAAUAGGACUUUGACCUAUUUGUUGGUUUCUCGAGGUCAAAGUA